GGUCACAGAGAAGAACUCAGGAGGGACCACGUGUCACAGUCCUCGGCCAAGUCAAGAAGUUAGGGUCUGCACAUGCAGGCCUGAGGGCAGUUAAACACCAGCCAGUGGAGUCAUCAAGUCUCAACAACCAGGGUGUUAAUUCUGUAACCUGUUAACACAGUUCUGUUCAAAAGCACUCGUUUGCCCACAAACUGGGCUGCAGAGAGUGAAGGGAGAAUAGAGGCGGGCAGAGUGCGCACACCUAUUCAGUCCUCAACGCCUUUAAACCGGUGCCCACGUUCGCACAGAGCAGUGACCACAUUGGUGAGUGACAAGGAACCAGUCCCCAUGAGCUCCAGGAUGCCCCCUGCCCGAGUCCCCGUCACCUGGUGCAUGCCUUUCUGGCCUCUCUGACCUGAGGAAGAUUGUUCCCACUAUCACUUGUGCCACAUUUACACCAUGACUCGCUGAAGUUGUUCAUGUAGUUGGGUUGGGCCACCCACCCUUCUGCCUGUCUCCAUAGCCUGUCCUCCGGGCCUGCACACAGUUGCCAUCGGGUGCGCCUUCCUGGGUCUCGGUCAGCAGGUUUAUUCUAUAGUUUCUGUCUUCUCAACCUAAACACCCAUGGAGUGUGGCCAGAGACCCGGAAGAGUGGGAACCGAGAAAGGCCUGUAGCAGCGGGCCAGGGAGGAGCAAGGACACAAGGACUGAGAGACUCGACUUGGGAUGAGGCGCCAGCGCCAGGGGGCCCAGGGCUGCAGAGCAGACUGUA